UAGCUCGCGGAGAGGGAAUGGUGUAUCGGGUUGGCGGAUUAAUUUCUGUCUUCUCAUCGCCUCCUCCCUUCGUGUCUUCCGUGCAAAUAGAAACUUCUUAGAGGGACAGGUGGCGUUUAGCCACACGAGAUUGAGCAAUAACAGGUCUGUGAUGCCCUUAGAUGUUCGGGGCCGCACGUGCGCUACACUGAAUGGAUCAACGUGUAUUAACCUUGCCCGAAAGGGUUGGGAAAUCCGUUGAACCCCAUUCGUGCUAGGGAUUGGGGCUUGUAAUUGUUCCCCAUGAACGAGGAAUUCCCAGUAAGCGUGAGUCAAAAGCUCGCGUUGAUUACGUCCCUGCCCUUUGUACACACCGCCCGUCGCUACUACCGAUCGCCCCAGUUAAUGAGCAGCUCGGAUUGGUCGCCAAUCACGGGUGCCUUCGUGCCUUCGCGGGCGCGGCAGGUGCCUCUUGGCUGUGCCGAGAAGAAUUGCAAAUUUGUUGGGGUAGAGGUCGUAAAAGUCGUAACAAGGUUUCCGUAGGU
rnacentral:rRNA from 1 species